CUAACGAUUGAUCUAGUUACUUAGAAAGGUGUUUAUUAAAAAUAAUAUAUAUUAAUAUAAUAUUAAUUAUAUAUUACAAAAGAAAAAUAAUUUAUAUAUAUAUAAUUUAUAUAUAUAUAAAAAUAAGAAAUAAAAUAAAUUGAAGAAAAUAAAACCUUAAAGAUAUAAUAAUAAUGAUAUAUAUAAGAGAAGUCUUGACCAAAAAUAGUGCCAGCAGUAGCGGUUAAACUAUGGAGGCAAACGUUAGUAAUUAUGGCUUAAAGAAUCCGCAGAAUGUUUUUUAUAAAAGAAAAGAAAAAAUAGUGUUUAAUAGAACGAUUAUUGAAUUAUUUAAGGAAUGAUGAAAUAUGAAGAUAAAAAUAAGACAACUAAUAGUUGAAGAUAAUAAUCAAGAAUUAAAACAGACAUUGAGAGGAUGAGAGCUUGAGUAGUAAACGGGAUUAGAUACCCCAUUAAUUCAAGCCGUCAACAAUGAAUACUGAGAGAGAAAUCAAAAGCGAAAGCUAAGUAUUCCGCCAGGUGAG
rnacentral:rRNA from 1 species